rnacentral:rRNA from 1 species
UCUUGACCUCGGAUCAGGUAGGAAUACCCGCUGAACUUAAGCAUAUCAA